GACGAACGCUGGCGGCGUGCUUAACACAUGCAAGUCGAGCGGUAAGGCCCUUUCGGGGGUACACGAGCGGCGAACGGGUGAGUAACACGUGGGUGACCUGCCCUCAGCUCUGGGAUAAACCUGGGAAACCGGGUCUAAUACUGGAUAUGACUCCAUGACGCAUGUUGUGGGGUGGAAAGCCUUGUGCGGCUGAGGAUGGGCCCGCGGCCUAUCAGCUUGUUGGUGGGGUGANGGCCUACCAAGGCGACGACGGGUAGCCGGCCUGAGAGGGCGACCGGCCACACUGGGACUGAGACACGGCCCAGACUCCUACGGGAGGCAGCAGUGGGGAAUCUUGCGCAAGUGGGCGAAAGCCUGACGCAGCGACGCCGCGUGAGGGAGUGACGG
rnacentral:rRNA from 1 species